ensembl:lncRNA
UGCAGGGACAAUCAUUUCAGAGUUGCUAGAUAAGCUGCUUUGAAAAUCUGACAUUAUUUCCAUUUAGUGAUCUUGCCUUAGCGCUUCUAAUAUACAUCUAACAAUUAUAUGCAUUUAUAGAUAUAUCUCUAUAUAUAGAUAUGUAAACAUACACAUUCUCUCCUGGGACAUGUAAAUAUGUCCUCAGGGCUGAACAAUGGUUAUUAAUACACUUCCAUUGCUCUCUAUGGGAGAAGAGACAUCUAGAAAAUCAGCAGGAAAUAGCUCAGAAAGAUAUUUUAGUAUUAGCAUGCAGAUUCUAGUGGCUGUUUUUAUAUGUUUAUUAAUACAAAUAAUGCCGGUGGUGUUCUGAACUAGUCUUAUUUGUGUGAAGUGAAUUCCAAUUUCCCUCAUGUUUGUGAGGAGGCUGGAUCCAGAGAAGUUUCAAACAGAGCAGAAGCAUAGUGUGGAGUUUCCCUGUCCUUGACUUUGGUGACCAUCCCGCAUCUUGUAAAAUCAUAAUGGCAUGGCAUAUUUAUUUAAAGUUUGGCCAAUGUGACUGUACAGUUUACAACAUUCUCCAGUUGAACAGCAGGAGAGGAAGAGAACAGUAUGAUGUGAGUGGGCCUGGUCACUUCCAGGUCAGGGCUAUAGCUAUCAAAGACAGGAGAACCAAAACCGGAGCAGUCAUGCUGUCACCCCGAGAAAUCCUUGUCUCCAUGCCCUUGCCUUCUCAACUUCAUCCCAAAGUCUACCCAACCCAUUUCUCCCUGAUGAGAAGUAAGCAGCCUGCCCCUCCAAUCCUGGCAUCACAUAGCUCAUCAAUGGAGUUCUGCCCACUGUGACAUGGCCACUCUGUUGCUAGGGCUGAUGCUGGGUACUCAGAUAGGGACCAGCUCCCAGCUUCCAGGAAAACAGAUUGCAGAGCUGCCUUUUUUUUAUGACCAUGGGAACUUCCAUUUUAAUAAAUGUUAUGGUAUAAAGACUUUGCUUCUUGCCAACUCUUCCCAGUCACUCUGCAGGCUGUACAGGAAGGAAGACCCUAGUUUAUCAGGAGAUGGAAGAUUCCAUGGAAGAUUCUCCCCCACAGAGGCAGUCCUUUGCUGGAAUUCAGAUGAAGUCUGUCUUCUUACCUUGUCGGUGGUUGCAAGUUCAGCUCAGAGCAAGAGAAAAAUAUGGACUAUAUCUGUCCUUAUUUCCUACUCUGUGUUGGGACAGCGUAGCCUAGCUCUCCACAGGAUAAGCUGCCUGAAAUCUGCUCUCACUUCAGGGCAGUAUCCUGUUAAUCCUGGUUCUGCAGGUGUACAAAGACAAGCGUCUUCUGGUGGCUGCCCCACUCCUCAUGUUCUCCUCUGCAGAAAAAUUAACCUACUCUAAAAGAGCAUUCCUGAUUUCAUUACUUAGUUCACAACUGCGGUGGUUUCACCCUGAUGGGCUGCUCAGUUCCACCACAUCACUCUGUCACUGCCCCUCCUCAAAAGAAGAGGGGAAGAAAAUAUGAUGGAAAAGGUCUCAAGGGCUGCAAUAAGAACAGGGAGAUCACUCACCAGCUACCAACACAGUAAAAACAGGCACAGUAUUUGGAAAUUAAUACAAUUUAUUACCUAUUACUAUCAGACUAGAGCAAUGAAAACUAAAAGCAAACAUAAGAUACAUCCAAAGGUGCCAUCUCUUCAAAAAACAGUAUGGGGUGAAUUUUUAUUUAAACUUAAUAUAGAUGAACAUGUAUUAUUUUCAUACGAAACAAAUAAACAAAAAACAAAACAAAACA